rnacentral:misc_RNA from 1 species
GGGUGUUGCUGCUUUGCGGUGGCUCAUCUUAAAUAUGCUCGUGCAACUCAUGGUUGGAUAUAGUACAGCGUGAUAAGUAUCCUCGCUGGCACCUCUGUAAGAGGGUAUCCGAUUGGGAGCUCUGUGCUUCAAACUGUCCUGUCUGGGACAAUCUCUGACAACUUGGCCUCAAAUCGAGUAGGACUACCCGCUGAACUUAA